rnacentral:RNase_P_RNA from 9 species
UGAGACCUCUUGAUGGCCGCGGCCGUGAUCUUCAUUGGGAUCGGCUGAGGAACUUCCGGGCUCCAUAGAGCACGAUGGCGGAUAACGUCCGCCCAGGGUGACCUGAGAGAUAGCGCAACAGAGAACAGACCGCCCGUCCUCGACGGGUAAGGGUGAAACGGCGGUGUAAGAGACCACCGGGCCUCUGGUAACAGUAGGUCGCAUGGCAAGCCUCAUCGGGAGCAAGGCCAAGCAGAUGGCGGUAAGGGCUGCUCGCCCGUGUCAUCGGGUAGGCUGCUAGAGCCUGGCGGUAACGUCAGGUCGAGAUGGAUGGCCAUCCGUGCCGUGCGUUCGCGCACGGCACGACAGAACCCGGGGUAUAAGAGGUCUCAUUUU